UACGGGGGGGGCAAGCGUUGUUCGGAAUUACUGGGCGUAAAGGGCGCGUAGGCGGCCUGCUAAGUCAGACGUGAAAUCCCUCGGCUUAACCGGGGAACUGCGUCUGAUACUGGAUGGCUUGAGUGUGGGAGAGGGAUGCGGAAUUCCAGGUGUAGCGGUGAAAUGCGUAGAUAUCUGGAGGAACACCGGUGGCGAAGGCGGCAUCCUGGACCACGACUGACACUGAAACGCGAAAGCCAGGGGAGCAAACGGG
rnacentral:rRNA from 1 species